GCACUACUGAAGAGUCCUAAACUAGAACGAAACGGCCGUCCAGUGC
rnacentral:hammerhead_ribozyme from 1 species